UACGGGGGGGGUAAGCGUUGUUCGGAAUUACUGGGCGUAAAGGGCUCGUAGGCGGCCAACUAAGUCGGACGUGAAAUCCCUCAGCUUAACUGGGGAACUGCGUCCGAUACUGGAUGGCUUGGAUUUGGGAGAGGGAUGCGGAAUUCCAGGUGUAGCGGUGAAAUGCGUAGAUAUCUGGAGGAACACCGGUGGCGAAGGCGGCAUCCUGGACUGGUCCUGACACUCAUGAGCGAAAGCGUGGGGAGCGAUCCGG
rnacentral:rRNA from 1 species